AAUAUAUAAUGCAUUUUAGAUGUAUACAUAAUUUUCUCGUUGCGAGCACGAGGAGACCUGGAAGAUUUAAGGCCAAACUAGAAAACCAGACAACCAUCUCUUUUUAGAUUCUGGUCCAAUCCAACAGAAGGUGGACCUGGCACAACUACAGAAAAUGACCACAGCGUUGACCAGUAUGAACGUUCAGAUAUUGGAGAAACACAGAUAAAAGAUGAACAACAAGGACCGUGUUUCAAUGUAAAGACAACUGAAGAGCCGGCGCUCAACCAAGCGGAUUUGCCCCAAACAUCUUACGACGUAGAUAUUUUAAAGGCCAAGGACCGGAUUAGUGAAAUGGACGACUCUGGAAAAUUCCAACUUCUUCAGACCA